rnacentral:rRNA from 1 species
AACGAACGCUGGCGGCAGGCUUAACACAUGCAAGUCGAACGCAUCGCAAGAUGAGUGGCAGACGGGUGAGUAACGCGUGGGAACAUACCCUUUUCUACGGAAUAGCUCUGGGAAACUGGAAUUAAUACCGUAUACGCCCUACGGGGGAAAGAUUUAUCGGGGAAGGAUUGGCCCGCGUUGGAUUAGUUAGUUGGUGGGGUAAAGGCCUACCAAGGCGACGAUCCAUAGCUGGUCUGAGAGGAUGAUCAGCCACAUUGGGACUGAGACACGGCCCAAACUCCUGCGGGAGGCAGCAGUGGGGAAUAUUGGACAAUGGGCGAAAGCCUGAUCCAGCCAUGCCGCGUGAGUGAUGAAGGCCUUAGGGUUGUAAAGCUCUUUCACCGAUGAAGAUAAUGACGGUAGUCGGAGAAGAAGCCCCGGCUAACUUCGUGCCAGCCGCCGCCGUAAUAC